GCCAGGCACAGUGGUGCAUGACUGUAGUCCCAGCUACUUGGGAGGCUGAGGUGGGAGGAUCACUUGAGUCCAGGAAUUCAAGGCUGCAGUGACCUGUGAUCAUACCACUGCACUCCAGUCUGGGUGACAGAGUGAAACCCUGUUUGAAAAAAAAAAAAUUAAGGCUGGGAAUAGUGGCUCAAGCCUAUAAUCCCAGUGCUUUGGGAGGCCGAGGUGGGUGGAUCAUUUGAGAGGUCAGGAAUUUGAGACCAGCCUGGGCAACAUGGUGAAACCCCAUCUCU
rnacentral:sRNA from 1 species